GAUGAACGCUGGCGGCGUGCCUAAUACAUGCAAGUCGAGCGAAAAGACGAGGAGCUUGCUCCACUGACGUUAGCGGCGGACGGGUGAGUAACACGUGGAUAACCUACCUAUAAGACUGGGAUCACUUCGGGAAACCGGAGCUAAUACCGGAUAAUAUAUUGAACCGCAUGGUUCAAUAGUGAAAGACGGUUUUGCUGUUACUUAUAGAUUGAUCCAGGCCGCAUUAGCUAAUUGGUAAGGUAACGGUGUACCAAGGCCACGCUGCGUAGCCGACCGGAAAGGGUGAUGGGCGACUCUGGGACUGAAAUACGGUCCAGACUCCGACGAGAGGCAGCAGGAGGGAAGCUGCCGCAAUGGGCGAAAGCCGGGCGGAAGAAUGCCGCGGCAGUGAUGAGGGUCUUCGGAUCGUAUACCGCUGGUAUUAGGGAAGAACAAAUGUGUAAGUAACUAGGCACGUCUUGACGGUACCUAAACAGAAAGCCACGGCUAACUACGUG
rnacentral:rRNA from 1 species